GACGAACGCUGGCGGCGUGCUUAACACAUGCAAGUCGAACGGAAAGGCCCUGCUUUUGUGGGGUGCUCGAGUGGCGAACGGGUGAGUAACACGUGAGUAACCUGCCCUUGACUUUGGGAUAACUUCAGGAAACUGGGGCUAAUACCGGAUAGGAGCUCCUGCUGCAUGGUGGGGGUUGGAAAGUUUCGGCGGUUGGGGAUGGACUCGCGGCUUAUCAGCUUGUUGGUGGGGUAGUGGCUUACCAAGGCUUUGACGGGUAGCCGGCCUGAGAGGGUGACCGGCCACAUUGGGACCGAGAUACGGCCCAGACUCCUACGGGAGGCAGCAGCGGGGAAUAUUGCACAAUGGGCGGAAGCCUGAUGCAGCAACGCCGCGUGCGGGAUGACGGCCUUCGGGUUGUAAACCGCUUUCGCCUGUGACGAAGCGUGAGUGACGGUAAUGGGUAAAGAAGCACCGGCUAACUACGUG
rnacentral:rRNA from 1 species